rnacentral:antisense_RNA from 1 species
AAUUCCUCUUUAAAUUCAUGGACAAUAACUUAGACAAGAGUACUAGUUAGUUUGAAGAAAGGGAAGAAAAGAUAGGAGUAAAAAACAUAUAGAAAUAAUGUACUAGAUUUUAAGUUCAUAGUAGAAAAUAAAAGCAGCACCACUACUAGUUAUAAUGUUCAAAGACUUGUAUUGUCCAUAGUAAAGUGCAUCUCUCCUUUAAAAUAAAGGAGAAGACUAAAUAUAGUAAUCUCCCAAAAUAAAAGGGUGGUUAAAAAAAAAUAUUUCAAGCUGAAUGAAUAUAUUACUAUAACUUGUUAGGCUAUAGUAAUUAUACACUAAAGCUUCUAGAUGUUUGAACUCUGGAUUAAAUACAAGUUAUUCAAAGAUGAUUAUUGAUAAACCACCCUUUACAUAUUCUAGCCUAUAUGUUUAUCCACUUAAUACGCAGAUACCACCGGCCUCCUUAAUUUUCUUCUCAGCCUUCUUAGAGAAGUGUCUAGCUCUGACAACAACUGGAAGAUUGGGUAGAUUACCUCCACCUAAGACCUUAAAGAUACCAGACUUAGUACAGUCAAUAAUUGGAGCCUUGUCAGUCUUGUUAUUGUACUUGUAGUGUUCAAGAGUGUUCUUUGACACCAAAGUCCAUAACUUUUCAACAUUGACAGUAGGACAGUACAUCUUGUUUAGCCUUUUGUGGAAAUAUCUCAUACCAACUUUACCAAAGUAGCCUGGAUGGUACUUGUCAAACCAGUUUCUCUUAUGUGUUAAACCACCACAAGCACCACGACCACCAGGAUGCUUUCUGUGUUUACCUACACGACCAUGACCGGCUGAUACGUGUCCU